AGGGUUGUAACUUAGUAGCAGAGCAUCUGCUUUGCAUGCAGAAGGUCCCAGGUUCAAUCCUGGCAUCUCCA